ACCUGGCGGCAGGCUACACCUGCAGUCGAACGGUAACAGGAUGUGCUUGCACAUCGCUGACGAGUGGCGGACGGGUGAGUAAUGCUUAGGGAUCUGCCUCUGUGUGGGGGAUAACUAUUGGAAACGAUAGCUAAUACCGCAUAAUGUUUACGGACCAAAGGGGGCGUUUGCUCCCGCGCAGAGAGGAACCUAAGUGAGAUUAGCUAGUUGGUAAGGUAAUGGCUUACCAAGGCGACGAUCUCUAGCUGUUCUGAGAGGAAGAUCAGCCACACUGGGACUGAGACACGGCCCAGACUCCUACGGGAGGCAGCAGUGGGGAAUAUUGCACAAUGGGGGGAACCCUGAUGCAGCCAUGCCGCGUGUGUGAAGAAGGCCUUCGGGUUGUAAAGCACUUUCAGUUGUGAGGAAAGGUUAGUAGUUAAUACCUGCUAGCUGUGACGUUAGCAACAGAAGAAGCACCGGCUAACUCCGUGCCAGCAGCCGCGGUAAUACGGAGGGUGCGAGCGUUAAUCGGAAUUACUGGGCGUAAAGCGCACGCAAGGCGGUUUGUUAAGCUAGAUGUGAAAGCCCCGAGCUCAACUUGGGAUGGUCAUUUAGAACUGGCAGACUAAGUCUUGGAGAG
rnacentral:rRNA from 1 species